rnacentral:lncRNA from 1 species
UCGGAAGAUCGGACUCAGGUUGCAGGAUCGGAUCCGGUGAUGGCGGAGGCGUCGGAGGAGAGUCUGCAAUGACCUCAGGGACAGGUAUGACCUCAGGGACGGGGACGACAGACGUUGGGCGACGAACCGGUGAUGGCGGAGGCGUCGGAGGAGAGUCUGCAAUGACCUCAGGGACAGGUAUGACCUCAGGGACGGGGACGACAGACGUUGGGCGACGACGCUGAUAUGUUUGAAGUGGUCGAGAAGUAGGGGGUCAGGAGUCAUAGAAUGGUGGGGGAUAAUGGUAGGCGGGACAUUAAUAACUGCCGGAAAAGGUGUGGGAGUACUUUCUUGAAGAGGUUCCGGAGAUACUGGG